rnacentral:rRNA from 1 species
ACCUACGGGGGGCAGCAGUAGGGAAUCUUCCACAAUGGACGAAAGUCUGAUGGAGCAACGCCGCGUGAGUGAAGAAGGGUUUCGGCUCGUAAAGCUCUGUUGGUAGGGAAGAAAGGGAGAGGUAGUAACUGGCCUUUAUUUGACGGUAAUUACUUAGAAAGUCACGGCUAACUACGUGCCAGCAGCCGCGGUAAUACGUAGGGGGCAAGCGUUGUCCGGAUUUAUUGGGCGUAAAGCGAGUGCAGGCGGUUGCAUAAGGCUGA